rnacentral:rRNA from 1 species
UACGGAGGGGGCGAGCGUUAUUCGGAAUUACUGGGCGUAAAGCGUGCGUAGGCGGUUCAUUAAGUCGGUUGUGAAAUCCCUGGGCUUAACCUGGGAACUGCAGUCGAUACUGGUGGACUAGAGUACGGUAGAGGGUGGCGGAACUCCGGGUGUAGCGGUGAAAUGCGUAGAUAUCCGGAAGAACACCGAUGGCGAAGGCAACCACCUGGGCCUGUACUGACGCUGAGGUACGAAAGCGUGGGGAGCAAACAGG